GCUGUCUUUACCUGUAUGCCAAUAACGCCCUCUUGGGGGAGGAUCCCUGCGACAGCAAGAGAGGCUUCAUCUGCAAGAAAAAAAAGGCAGAGAAACAUUGACUGGCUCGUAACCAUGCCAUCACCGUAGAGCUGACCUCUGUGCGACCUUUGUCAAAGAGAUUUUCCACCGCCAUCUCAAUGAGGUUUUAUUCUGCUCCCAUAAGAAUUUUGAUUUCGCGAUUGUAUGACUUUUUGGAGGACUAGAUAAGUUUUUUUCCCCCCUUUCCCUUCUGAACAAUAUAUUGACAUGUAUUUUCUUUGCUUCAUUAUGUAACCAAUGAUCCUUUUCAAUGACUGUCCUAAUAAACUUGCUAAGACAAUUGA